CGAUACACAUAUAUGCCAGGCCAUUCUGAGUCGAUUGGUCUUGGUCCCAUGUCUCUAGGACAUACCUGAGGACUAAUUCGAAAUAUGUGGAAGUAGAAAUGUACUUGUUGCCAGGCAGUCAGAGGCACCAAAUUGCACAGUGACAUAUAAGAGACCUCCCUGAGUUUAUUGAUUUCAUAUCUGGGUUAAGUCCAUAGUUGGCAUGGGUCUUGUUCCUUUCUAGACACUAGCUGAGCACAUUCCCAACAUUGGAUAAAGUGCAUAGGUACAUACCAUGGGCAUUAUGCUAUUUGCACCACAUUUGUGACAAACAUGUUGCCAUAACUAAGCAUAUCUUUCCAUAAAAAAAGAAAGAAAAACAACCUUGAAUUUCCUCUGGGAUCAACAAAUAUCUAUCUAUUCAUCCUGUUAUAGACCCUGCCCUGCUGAACACAUUUGUCUUGGAAGGGCAUGACAGUGUUGUGCUGUUCUUGAGAAAUCUGUACAUAAACUAUUUGAAUUCUUUGUAGUAAAUGUAAAUGUGGAAUAUUCCACAUUUGUAUCUACUUUUUAAUACCCUCAUAGAUACGUUUUUGGAUAUCCUGUGUCAAGGGUCAUUGGAUAGAGGAAUGAGGAAAUAGUUCAUCAUCAGUGAAAAGGUUUCCACACAUGUAACCCCUAAAUGCUGACAGGUCUUUCCUGUCAAUAUGAGUGGCAAGGUGUGUGGAAUUUGUUUUAAAAUAUUCAAAAAUCUGAGGCACCACCUGAAAGUUAGACAUGCUGUACAAAAUAAAGAAGAGUUUCACCUUCUCCUAAAAUAUGGAAAUGGACGGACCAGCAAAAAAGUGGACUGUCCUAUUUGUGACAAGACUGGAUUUAGGAGACUGGACAGACACCUUGAUGAUUUCCAUGGAACAUCAAGAAAAGAUCGAGAUGAUCUUUUGAAAGAAGCAAAGAGAAAGGUGAUAAUGAAGGAGUUUGUGGCACUUAAGGGAUUAAGGUCAACGCUGCCUAUGGUGUCAUCACUUAGUGAUGACAGGAAACCCAGUGAGGAUGAUGAAGUGAUGGAUAUUGGUGAAGGUUCUGUUUCUGAACAACACUGUGUUGGUGCUCCUCAGCAAUCCUCCACUCCCGUUGGUUUUGAUGAUAAUC